AUACGGAGGGUGCGAGCGUUAAUCGGAAUUACUGGGCGUAAAGGGCGCGUAGGCGGUUUUUUAAGUCAGAUGUGAAAGCCCUGGGCUUAACCUGGGAACUGCAUUUGAAACUGGGAGGCUCGAGUUUGGUAGAGGGGAGUGGAAUUUCCGGUGUAGCGGUGAAAUGCGUAGAGAUCGGAAGGAACACCAGUGGCGAAGGCGACUCUCUGGACCAAAACUGACGCUGAGGUGCGAAAGCGUGGGUAGCAAACAGGAUUAGAUACCCCAGUAGUCC
rnacentral:rRNA from 1 species